AUGACAUUUGAUGUUAUUGACUUCCAACACAAAGCGAUCAUAUGGCCUCAGAACAAUGAACUAUUCGGUGAACUUUGCACAACCUUAGCAUUUUGUUGGAAUUGUUGUGUGUGUUUAUGCUGUGUUUUUUGUCUCUGUAGAGUAAAUCAGUGUCGUCAACUGACAGUCAGGCAGCGGAGGAUCGUCAGGGUCCAUCAGGGGUUUAUUCCUCACAGGCCAGCAGCGAGGCCAAACGGAGACGUUGUGAUGAUAAAGACGUCCUGCCGUCUCACUACGACAGUGACGGAGACAAGAGCGAGGACAAUCUUGUAGUAGAUGUCUCAAAUGAGGAGCCGUCCUCUCCUGUAGGCAGUGGCCCUCUGUCUCCACAUGGGAAUGGUUUGGAUCGAGCCCCGACCCUAAGGAAAGAGCUCCCAGGAUCCCCUAGUCCCCCUCCGGCCUCCCCACCACACAGCCCACCCCCUGGCAAAAACAAGGACAUGGCACAAGUAUGACCACUGUUCUCAGACACCUAAUAUACCAGAAUCGACUCUCUUCCCACAUUAUGUCUCAUUCACUAUCGCCAUGCUUCAAUAAUGUUUGACAACCAGGACGUGUCCAAAUACUUUUUUGUCUUUAAUAUAAAAUAUAUGUGGCACUUUUCCUGAACAACAUGCAUAAUAGAGCCUAGAAGUUGUUGUUUUUUAAUUACACAGAUUGUGUGUGUGUGUGUGUGUGUGUGUGUCUGUGUGUGUUUUGUUGCUAUUUUAUAAAUAUAAAAAUACAAAUAAUAAUAAUAAAAUGAUUUAAAGCUAUAUUUGCAGAUUUAAUCUAAUGUAAGGUCUAGUUUGGGACAAAGUGUUGGUUAGUAGUUACUUUUAAACUUAUUUUCUAUCAAUUAAAUUAAAAAAGGUUUUAAAUAUUUUAAUUAUUAUGAAAAUUUUUAUAUUUU
rnacentral:lncRNA from 12 species